UAAGACUUGCUUGUUUGGUUAUGUGGAUAUUUUUUUUUUUCACGGCACUCCUUGUUACUCUUCCGUCCACUGUGAUAUGGCCCUGGGCCUCUGAGAUGCAAGUGUUAAGUCUCACUUUGUAGGCAGAGAUGAACUUCUGCCAUCUUCAGCCUGCACCAAAGUCAGGCCUGCUGUACUGAAGAAGAGAUGCCUGACUGUGCCUUCCACCACGUGGGAUUGUGAAACUUUGUGCGAUCAUAAAGACCAAAUAAGACUAGGAUGGUGUAGUGUGUUUAAAAAUAAGAAACCAAGAUUUCAAGAUGGUGGAGGAUUGAGCAGAAGUCACACUGACCUCUUCCCAGGACCAAUCUGGAAUUAAAAAUGAAUUGUGGAAAAAUCACCUGGAAAAAAACUGAACAAUAGCAAAAGAGGAGCCUUAAACCCUCGGACAGACAGACGAAUUGACUUUAGCACAACGUAACUCAUAAGGAGUGAGGUAGAGGCUCAAGAAGGUGGACUAAGUGGCCACAGGCGGCAGCACCAGAGAGAUAUUGAAGUGGCCAGUUGGAUUCCCCUGAGAAGAGCAGGGUCUAAACCAUAGGUGGGGGUCUCCAGGCUACAGCACCAGAGGACAAAAAGUACACAGAUAACAGCCAGCUAUGAAAACUGGCAGGGUGCUCUCUGCCAGAGACAGGUGGCUAGAGAUACAAAGAGCCAUUUAAUGGGACAAUGCAAAAAUUUGUAAUGGCAGCCACUUACCCUGGGCUUCAGUGGAGUUGGGGACAGAGUGGGCUGGAGCAGACUGAGGAGAGACUGGGGAGGGACGCUUUGGGGAGAGAACUGAGAAAGUGGAGGGCAUGGUCCCCAUGCUGGCUCACCCCCAAUUCCACCACGGCCAUCUUGCUCAAGCAGACCACUCCCCUGAGUGGCAGCAGUGUGAAAAGACAGAAUAGUCAUGACCAUAGGAAGUUUGGCCCAGACCCAGGUUGUGGGCAAGCUCAACUACUGAGUACCGAGUAGCAGUCACAGAGAGUAGGUUUUUGCCUGAAGGGGAUGCAGAGUGCUCUAGAGAUGCUUGAGGAGAGUUUGGAAACAGAGACAUUAGGGAGAGAACAGAAGGAGUAGCCUGGGAGAUCCUAGUGCUUACUCUUCUCCCAUAAGACAGCAGCCAUUGUGCUCAGGCAGACCACUCCCCCAAGUGGCAGCAGCAUGAAAGGACACAAUAGCGAUGUUCCCAGUAUAAUUGGCUCCGGCCUGGUGUUGCACUGGCUUGGACACUGAGUCAGAGCAGCAAUCAUAGAUAGUAGAUCCCUGGCUUAAAGAGAUGCAGACUGGUCUAGAGAUGCUUGAGGUAAGUCUAAAGACAGAGGUAUUGGGAUGUAGCAAGCGGGGAUCCCAGAGCGGACUCUCCCCACAUACGGC